CCCUGUAUCGAAAGUGGCGUCGGCGCACCGUUGUCGCCUUCGCCAUCGAUAGUACAGGAAGAGCAAAUUGUCGCCGGCUAUUCCCGUGUCUGCUGGACCACCGUUUCCUGUCGGACCCUGGCGCCGGCACACA